UGAUAUAAACUUAGAAAUGUGCUAUUUUGGAGAUUUGCCCAAGAUAAAAUGCUAUUUUGGUCAAUUUAGUUUUUGAGGGCUAUUUUUGUGAUAUAAACUUAGAAAUGUGUUAUUUUGGAGAUCUGCACUUUUUAAAAUAGUAAAGGGUGUUUUAAAGUAAACUUAAACGAAUAUAGACGGGUCUAGGCGGAUAAUAGAUGGACAGAACUUAGGUUUACCCCCUAGGGUGAACCUUUAAAUUCACCUCACUUUUUAGAACCAAUCAAAGUGACACAUAGAUUAUUAAUUAAAAAAUAUUAAAAUUAAAUAAAAAAUAGCUACAAAAAAUAAAAACGCUAAUUUUAACGACGCUAACGCUUCCAGCUAAACCCUAAACCCUAAACCCUAAACCCUAAAUCUUAAAUUUUAAAUCCUAUACCCUAAAUUCUAAACCCAAAUCCAAACCCCUAAACCCAAACCCUAUACCCUAAACUCUAAUCCUAGAUCCUAAACCCAAAUUAUAUACCCUAAACCCAAAAACUAGACUAUAAACCUAAACUCUAUAUCCUAAACCCAAAUCCUAGACCUUAAACCCAAACCGUAAAUUUUAAACCCAAAUUAUAUACCCUAAACCCAAAACCUUAACCAUAAGUCCAAACGGUAAAUCCUAAACCCAAACUGUAAACCCUAAACCCAAAACCUAUACCCUAAACCCAAAUCCUAAACCUAAAACCCAAACGGUAAACCCUAAACCCAAACCCCAAACUUAGAUGCUAUAGGGUUUGGGUUUAGGGUCUAAGACUUUGGUUUAGGGUAUAGGGUUUAGGUUUAU
rnacentral:lncRNA from 1 species